GCUUAAUUAGUAUAUAAAGUAUCAUAGACUUCCAAUCUGUAGGACCAAAACCUCUGGAUUAAGCA
rnacentral:tRNA from 1 species